GUUAAAAAGCUCGUAGUCGAAUGUAGGUUUUGUUACUACGCGAUCUCUUGGGUGUAACUUGAGUGGACUGCGUGUAACAACCUUCCCGGAUAUAACAGAGGUAGUCUGGGUAAUUUCAGGUUAUGUCUUGUUAUAUGCAUUACUGUGAACAAAAUAGAGUGUUCAUGGCAGGCCAAUUUAGGCUUGGAUACCUCAGCAUGGAAUAAUAGAAUAGGACUUCUGGUUCUAUUUUGUUGGUUUUUGGAGCCGAAGUAAUGAUUAAUAGGGAUAGUUGGGGGCACUCGUACUCCGUUGUCAGAGGUGAAAUUCUUGGAUUGACGGAAGACGAACAACUGCGAAAGCAUCUGCCAAGGAUGUUUUCAUUGAUCAAGAACGAAAGUUAGGGGAUCGAAGACGAUUAGAUACCGUCGUAGUCCCUAACCAUAAACUAUGCCGACUGGGGAUUGGUAGAUGUACCAAAAAACGACUCUAUCAGCACCCUAUGAG
rnacentral:rRNA from 1 species